CCGGGACGAGGGUGAAGGGGGGGGGGCGGGCGGAGCGGGGGCUGCCCGCAGCGGUGGGCUCCGGUGGGGCGAAGAAGGGACGGAGGGGCAGACGGCGCUGCGUGCCACAGCCGCGGGGUCCGCGGACAGACGGCCGCGCUGAGCACCGCGCUGCACCCCCCCCGCAGAGCGGAACGGAGGCCGCUCCCCGCCGGGCCCGGCGCUCACAGCGGGUUUGCCGAGGAGGCCGCCAGCCGCUUCCCGAUGUAGAUCCCCAGGCCCAGGGUCAGCACGUGGCUGAGCAGCAGCGAGGGGAUGACGAGCAGCAGCAGCUCGGAGCUGAACGGCCCCUUCUUCCUCAGCACCGCGCCGUCCCGCAGCGCCCACCGCACCGGCGGGGGGGGACACGCGAAGGGGAGGUGGUCCUUCGCGCGGCGCGGCUCCGCGCAGCUCCGGCUGAGCGCUGCGGGCGGACGGCGCUCGGUCCGCUCGGCGUCCUGCGGGGCGUCUCGCGGCGCGGGGGGCUCCACGCGGGACUUCGGCGCUCCUUCCCGGCCCGGCGGGGUCUGCGGGCGGCCCGGGGCGGGGCGGAGCCUCUCGCUCACCUUUGCGGCGUCUUCCUCGUCCCGGGCCGGGGGGCCGCGCGCCGGCAGCGCCCCGUCGGCGCCGUCCGGCUCCAGCUGCGCCUCCAGCAGCAUCCGCUCCACGUCGGCGUGGCACGAGAAGGGCGCGGGGUCGCAGCGCAGCUCCACCCAGGAGCCGUCGUCGCCGCCGCCCGCCAUGGCCCCGCG
rnacentral:lncRNA from 1 species